AAACUUUUAACAACGGAUCUCUUGGUUCUGGCAUCGAUGAAGAACGCAGCGAAAUGCGAUAAGUAAUGUGAAUUGCAGAAUUCAGUGAAUCAUCGAAUCUUUGAACGCACAUUGCGCCCGCCAGCAUUCUGGCGGGCAUGACUGUUCGAGCGUCAUUU
rnacentral:rRNA from 1 species